UACGGAGGUUGCGAGCGUUAUCCGGAUUUAUUGGGUUUAAAGGGUGCGUAGGCGGAUCGUUAAGUCAGUGGUCAAAUUGAGGGGCUCAACCCCUUCCCGCCAUUGAAACUGGCGAUCUUGAGUGGAAGAGAAGUAUGCGGAAUGCGUGGUGUAGCGGUGAAAUGCAUAGAUAUCACGCAGAACCCCGAUUGCGAAGGCAGCAUGCCGGCUUCCGACUGACGCUGAAGCACGAAGGCGUGGGGAUCGAACAGG
rnacentral:rRNA from 1 species